AGUGCACGGUUAGCUGUCUUUCACGUUUCGAUUGGUUUCGAUGCAGUACUUAAAGUGAACUAUUAAACAUUUCAAAAAGUUUGUUAAGUAGCAUAAUGUGGUAAAGCAGAUUAAGUGUGAAACCAACAUUAUAGUGAGAUCCUUGUGAAUGGAAAAUAGCAUGAUCAAGGCUGUUCUUCAAUUGCAAAGAAAGAGAAUUAUGAUUGAAACAAAUGCAAAAUAUCCAACUGGAAUUCUCUUCGUAUUUGUGGUAAUUUUGGAAAAUAUUCUUUCCAGAGAAUAACACCUUAAAAGAAAGAACUGUGGUUGUGAUAAUGUAGCAGUAUUGCAUGAGUAUUAGGUGAAUCCGUCUACACCUUUCCAUAGACUGACCCAUUGGAUGGUGAAACUGACGAGAGAAUGCUGUAAUUCAAGACUGUUAAAUUGUUUAGUUGUUAGAUAAAUUACAAGUUCAUAUCUGGGCUCCCUUCUUUUCUGUGGCCCCGUUUCCCUAACUAACCACUAACCAAC